GGACCCCUAGCUCAGUGGUAGAGCGUGAGAUUCCAGCGUCGUUCAGGUCACGUGACUCCUCAAGGUCAUCCGUUCAAUCCGGGUGGGGUUCA